rnacentral:rRNA from 1 species
UACGUAGGGCGCAAGCGUUACUCGGAAUUACUGGGCGUAAAGCGUGCGUAGGUGGUUUGUUAAGUCUGCUGUGAAAUCCCCGGGCUCAACCUGGGAAUGGCAGUGGAUACUGGCAAGCUAGAGUGCGGUAGAGGGUAGUGGAAUUCCCGGUGUAGCGGUGAAAUGCGUAGAGAUCGGGAGGAACACCGGUGGCGAAGGCGGCCUUCUGGACAGUGACUGACGCUGAGACGCGAAAGCGUGGGGAGCAAACAGG